rnacentral:rRNA from 1 species
GAUGAACGCUGGCGGCGUGCCUAAUACAUGCAAGUCGAGCGAACGGACGAGAAGCUUGUGGGUCUGAUGUUUGCGGCGGGCGGGUGAGUAACACGUGUAUAACCUACCUAUAUGACUGGUAUCAUUUCGGGACACCGGCGAUAAUCGCAGAUAAUAUUCUGAACCGCAUUGUUCGAAGGUGAGUGACGGCCUUGCUGUCAGUUAUAGAUGCUUCCGCGCUGCAUUAGCUAGUUGGUACGGUAACAGCUUACCAAGGCGACGAUGCAUAGCCGACCUGAGAGGCUGAUCGGCCACCUGGGAACGUGGCCACGGUCCAUGGUCCUACGGGAGGCAGCAGUAGGGAAUGUGCGGCAACGGGCGGAAGCCUGACGCAGCGAGGCCGCGUGAGAGACGACGGCGUUCGGUUCGUAAAGCUGGGUUUCUAGGUAAGAACAGAUGUGGAAGUAACUGAGGCGAGAUUGACGGUACCUAGUCAAAAAGCAACGGCUAACUACGUG